rnacentral:rRNA from 1 species
CGAGUCGCGGUCGCAAGAUCGUGGCCCCGCACACGGCUCAGUAACACGUAGUCAACCUACCCUUGGGACGGGGACAACGCCGGGAAACUGGCGAUAAUCCCCGAUAGGUGAGGGAUGCUGGGAUGCUUCUUCGCUCAAAGCUCCGGCGCCCGAGGAUGGGACUGCGGCCUAUCAGGCUGUUGGUGGUGUGACGGACCACCAAACCUACGACGGGAACGGGCGAUGGGAGUCGGAGCCUGGAGAUGGGGACUGAGACAAGGCCCCAGGCCCUACGGGGCGCAGCAGGCGCGAAAACUCCGCAAUGCGCGCAAGCGUGACGGGGGAACCCCAAGUGCCGUUGGUCUUUUGAUCGACGGCUUUUCGGAAGUCCAAUAAGCUUCUGGAAUAAGGGCUGGGCAAGACUGGUGCCAGCCGCCGCGGUAACACCAGCAGCCCAAGUGGUGGCCGCGAUUAUUGGGCCUAAAGCGCUCGUAGCCGGAUCAGCAAGUCCUUUGUGAAAUCGGACCGCCCAACGGUUCGGCGUGCAAAGGAUACUGUUGGUCUUGAGACCGGGAGAGGUCGGAGGUACUCUUGGGGUAGCGGUGAAAUGCUGUAAUCCUGGGGGGACCACCAGUGGCGAAGGCGUCCGACCAGAACGGAUCUGACGGUGAGGGGCGAAGGCUAGGGGAGCGAACGGGAUUAGAUACCCCGGUAGUCCUAGCUGUAAAGCAUGCGGGCCAGGUGUCUAGCGCUCCUUGAGGGCGCUAUGUGCCGGAGGGAAGCCGUUAAGCCCGCCGCCUGGGAAGUACGGCCGCAAGGCUGAAACAUAAAGAAAUUGGCGGGGGAGCACCACAAGGGGUGGAACCUGCGGUUC